AUUGAACGCUGGCGGCAGGCCUAACACAUGCAAGUCGAACGGUAACAGGAAGAAGCUUGCUUCUUUGCUGACGAGUGGCGGACGAGUGAGUAAUGUCUGGGAAACUGCCUGAUGGAGGGGGAUAACUACUGGAAACGGUAGCUAAUACCGCAUAACGUCGCAAGACCAAAGAGGGGGACCUUCGGGCCUCUUGCCAUCGGAUGUGCCCAGAUGGGAUUAGCUAGUAGGUGGGGUAACGGCUCACCUAGGCGACGAUCCCUAGCUGGUCUGAGAGGAUGACCAGCCACACUGGAACUGAGACACGGUCCAGACUCCUACGGGAGGCAGCAGUGGGGAAUAUUGCACAAUGGGCGCAAGCCUGAUGCAGCCAUGCCGCGUGUAUGAAGAAGGCCUUCGGGUUGUAAAGUACUUUCAGCGGGGAGGGAGGGAGUAAAGUUAAUACCUUUGCUCAUUGACGUUACCCGCAGAAGAAGCACCGGCUAACUCCGUG
rnacentral:rRNA from 1 species